rnacentral:rRNA from 1 species
CAGAGGUCCCGAGCGUUGUUCGGAUUCACUGGGCGUAAAGGGUGCGUAGGUGGUGUGGCAAGUUUGAUGUGAAGUCUCCGGGCUUAACCCGGAAAAUGCAUUGAAUACUGCCAGGCUGGAGGGUUGGAGGGGGGACUGGAAUUCUCGGUGUAGCAGUGAAAUGCGUAGAUAUCGAGAGGAACACCAGUGGCGAAGGCGAGUCCCUGGACAACACCUGACACUGAGGCACGAAAGCUAGGGGAGCAAACAGGAUUAGAUACCCUGGUAGUCCUAGCCCUAAACGGUGCACGUUUGCUGUAAGAGGAAUCGACCCCUUUUGUGGCGAAGCUAACGCGAUAAACGUGCCGCCUGGGGAGUACGGUCGCAAGAUUA